rnacentral:rRNA from 1 species
UACGUAGGGUGCAAGCGUUAAUCGGAAUUACUGGGCGUAAAGCGUGCGCAGGCGGUUUUGUAAGUCUGACGUGAAAUCCCCGGGCUCAACCUGGGAAUUGCGUUGGAGACUGCAAGGCUGGAGUCUGGCAGAGGGGGGUAGAAUUCCACGUGUAGCAGUGAGAUGCGUAGAUAUGUGGAGGAACACCGAUGGCGAAGGCAGCCCCCUGGGUCAAGACUGACGCUCAUGCACGAAAGCGUGGGGAGCAAACAGG